AAGUCGUAACAAGGUAUCCGUAGGUGAACCUGCGGAUGGAUCAUUAAAACCAAAAAGCAACGUGCUUUCAAACACGUUACUAACCAACCUUUGUGCACCUAUUUCACAACUUUGGCGAGUGAUAGUUGGUGACUGGCAAGUUCCGCUUCCCCUAGUGGGAGAGUGUGGCUGGGUCUUCGCCGGUGAGAAGAAGAUCUUAUGACUUGUCCCAACUGCGACUCACUUGCUCAAUGUUUUUUCAAUCUCGCCACCUCUUUUUAACCCAUUGAACUAAUGUAUUCUUCUUUUAGUUGUACUAAACGUUUUCUACUGUUGUCGACUUUGCCCUUUGUUGGGUUUGUCAACAAACUGACUAAGAAACGCAAGAACAACUCUUAGCAACGGAUAUCUAGGUUCUC
rnacentral:misc_RNA from 1 species